rnacentral:rRNA from 1 species
UACAGAGGUCUCAAGCGUUGUUCGGAUUCAUUGGGCGUAAAGGGUGCGUAGGUGGCGAGGCAAGUCAGAUGUGAAAUCCCGGGGCUCAACCCCGGAACUGCAUUUGAAACUGCCUUGCUCGAGUACUGGAGAGGAGACUGGAAUUCUCGGUGUAGCGGUGAAAUGCGUAGAUAUCGAGAGGAACACCUGCGGCGAAGGCGGGUUGCUGGGCUGACACUGACGCUGAUUGUGCGAAAGCUAGGGGAGCGAACGGG